AUUGAACGCUGGCGGCAUGCCUUACACAUGCAAGUCGAACGGCAGCAUGAUCUAGCUUGCUAGAUUGAUGGCGAGUGGCGAACGGGUGAGUAAUACAUCGGCACGUGCCCUGUAGAGGGGGUUAACUAGUCGAAAGAUUAACUAAUACCGCAUACGACCUGAGGGUGAAAGUGGGGGACAGCAAGGCCUCAUGAUAUAGGAGCGGCCGAUGUCUGAUUAGCUAGUUGGUGAGGUAAAGGCUCACCAAGGCGACGAUCAGUAGCUGGUCUGAGAGGACGAUCAGCCACACGGGAACUGAGAUACGGCCCAGACUCCUACGGGAGGCAGCAGUGGGGAAUAUUGGACAAUGGGCGAAAGCCUGAUCCAGCAAUGCCGCGUGUGUGAAGAAGGUCUUCGGCUUGUAAAGCACUUUUGUCCGGAAAGAAAGGGCUCUGGUUAAUACCUGGGGUCGAUGACGGUACCGGAAGAAUAAGGACCGGCUAACUACGUG
rnacentral:rRNA from 1 species